rnacentral:rRNA from 1 species
CGAAGGGGGCUAGCGUUGCUCGGAAUCACUGGGCGUAAAGGGUGCGGUAGGUGGCUGGGAAAGUUUGAUGGUUGAAAGCUCAGGGCUUAACCCUGAAAUCGGCAUUGAAUACUGCCUGGCUGGAGGUUUGGAGGGGGACUGGAAUUCUUGGUGUAGCAGUGAAAUGCGGUAGAUAUCAAGAGGAACACCAGUGGCGAAAGGCGAGUCCCUGGACAACACCGUGACACUGAGGCACGAAAGCCGGGGGAGCGAAACAGG